UACGGAGGGUGCAAGCGUUAAUCGGAAUUACUGGGCGUAAAGCGCACGCAGGCGGUCUGUCAAGUCGGAUGUGAAAUCCCCGGGCUCAACCUGGGAACUGCAUCCGAAACUGGCAGGCUAGAGUCUUGUAGAGGGGGGUAGAAUUCCAGGUGCAGCGGUGAAAUGCGUAUAGAUCUGGAGGAAUACCGGUGGCGAAGGCGGCCCCCUGGACAAAGACUGACGCUCAGGUGCGAAAGCUAGGGUCUCGAACCGG
rnacentral:misc_RNA from 1 species